AUUUCCUGUUUAACUCUCGGCUCACAUUUAUCCUUUCACUGUGACCUUAACCUUUCCUAACUUAAGAAAUUAAGAUUCAUCCACUCCAGGGACUCAGAAGAUGAACUCUUUCCCAGAACUAGUGAUUGCACUCUUCUUAAUGUUUGGAGAAAGCAAUGGAGACUCAGUGACUCAGACAGAAGGCCAAGUGACACUCUCUGAAGGGACCUCUCUGACUGUGAACUGUUCCUAUGAAACCAAACAGUACCCAGCCCUGCUCUGGUAUGUGCAGUACCCAGGAGAAGGUCCACAGCUCCUCUUCAGAGUCUCGAAGGCCAACGAUAAGGGAAGCAGCAGAGGGUUUGAAGCUACAUAUGAUGAAGGAUCCACUUCCUUUCACUUGCGGAAAUCCUCAGUCCAAGAGUCAGAUUCGGCUGUGUACUACUGUGCUUUGAGUGACACAGUAACAGAAACCACAGGGGGAGCUGAGCACAAACUCUGAGAAGCACAGGCCUGGCUGCUGAGUGUGUCUGAGAUCACUCAUUUACAGACCAGGGACAGAUCUGCUAUUAUUGACACUCACCACACACUCAGGCACUGCUGCAGUGUAAACCAUACAAAUUAAUUCUAAGAACACAGCAGUGAGAAUGCCUUACUUUAGGCUUGAUCAGAAAGAGUGAAACAGUCACACACAUAGUGAUUUUCUUUGUUUUUGUUUUUGUUUUGUAUUGCCACUAGCCCAGGCUGGCCUUGUACUCCUUAUGAAGCUGAGGCUGACUUUGAACUCCUGUUCUUCCGGCCUGCACCUCCAGUGGGCUUGAGUUACAGGCAUGAACCAUUACACUAGGCUGAAUUUUUUAUGUCUUAAAUGCAAAAUCUCUUGUUGAAUGAAGCCAUUUAUGUAUAAAUCAUCCCCUAUAAUUUCUAACCUCUGAACCUGGCUCAUGACAUUCACAGAAUUAUCAUGAUUUAUGAGGCUGCACAUACUCCAUACCUUUCUAGUAAAGUGUACUAAGAAAGGGUUGACUUUUCUUUCUUCUCAGCAUCUAAUAACUUAUUUGUGAUUCAUAAGGAUUCUUAUAUUUGACUGUAUUUAGAAGUAGAAGCUCCUAGUGGAGACAGUCUGUAUCUUGUGGAAAUAUGUUCCUGACAUUUUGAUUUGGCUUUCUUCAUUCUUUUGUCCAAAAAUAUAUAAUAGUCUGCUGCCUCUUUCUUAUGUUUCUUAUGUUUUUUUUCAGUGUAAUAUUUAAGUUGUUGUGAUAUGUAUAAAGGAAAAUGAUGCUGAAUCUUGGGUUGCUUUGGUCUUGGGGAGAAAUGAACUAAGAUGCUCUCAAUUCUGUUAACAGGUCAAAUGAAGAAAACUGAAUUAAGCAUUAAGAAAAUUGGAGGUG